AGUUUGUGAGUUUCUAGGCAUAUAGAUUUUUCUAUGACUAGAAAGUUCACUUACUGU
rnacentral:pre_miRNA from 1 species